rnacentral:lncRNA from 1 species
ACACAUUCCCUAGCAGUUUUUGUCCCUCUGUACAUACCAACUCUUUCUCUAACAACAACUUGUACUUGUUGAACCAUGAAACCAAUAUUAGCAUUGUGUACUCUGAAAAUUUUACCAUUCCUGGCUUGCCAAACUUUGUGUAUUACUGCACCAUAACUAGACGCUACAAUUUCCUUUUUGAACCUUGUCCAUUGCUUAUGCUUAAUUCAUUUUAUGGUCUGCUGCACCUCCCCGAGACUCUAAACAGUCUCUAGGCAUCCUGCAAUUCUUCUCCAUACUACACAUAUGAGAUCACAUUGGACAAACAAGUGAGAAUCAUUCUCAGGUUGACCCUGCUCACACAGCACACAUGUGUCAUGUUCACAAGGCACACCAAUCCUUUACUUCCUUUCCUUUGGAAGUAACUUCUUCUGGACAGCUACCCAUGGUAAGAAUCUGUGUUUAGGUAAAAGCAGUUUGCACCAUAUCAGUUCAGAGCCCCCCUCAACACAGGUUGCUUCUGUCAAUGCAAUGUAACAUCUCGAGAUUGAAUAUUUGGUUGUUGCUUUAAGAGUGUAUGCUCCUUGACAAUACCAGUCUUGCAUGACCCAUUUCAUUUUGUUCAACUGUUUCCAGUACCAGCUGCAAUCCUUAGGUUCCUGAUAUAUCCAUAUAUCCUCUCCUUCAUUCAUAUAUAUACUAUUUCCACUACCAGCUGCAAUCCUUAGGUUCCUGAUACAUCCAUGUAUCCUCUCCUUCCGUCAUACAUAUACUAUGUACCCAUUUAACCCAAAGUUGCUCCUUAUCAUGCUGCAACCACCAUAUUAUUUUACCAAGAACAGCUAUGUUCCAUGCUUACACCUGUUCACCUUUUGUCUUAGGAUGACAUACUGCCUCCCAUUUUACCAAGGAUUUCUUCAUCUUUUCUUCAGUACCUCCCCAAAGAAAUUUUUGACAUUCUUUCUCCACUGCCGUGAUCACACUUCGAGGCAACAAGAAAACAGCUCCCAAAAAAUUCUGCAGUGAAAAGAUGACAGAGUUGAUUACCUGUAAUCAACCAGCAUAUGACAAGUGUCUGGUAGCUGUUGCUUUUAGCUUCACAGUAAUCCUUUGACACAACUGAUUGCAAUCACAUUUGUUCCACUUUUGGUGUGAUAAUGGCAUGCCCAGGUACCUAAUAGGUAGAGCUCAAUUUCCGAAUCCUGUAAUGCCAAGCAAUGAAGUCUUCACACUCUCAGAAACUCCAGCAACAAACAUGCUGGACUUUUCCUGAUUAGCAGACAGACCAGCUGUCUCAGAGAAACACCUGAUGGCUUCCAUGAUCCUACUCACUGACUGCUCAUUGUCUUUGCAAAAGAUCAUAAGAUCAUCUGCAGGUAAUAUGAGUUAAUUUCUUCUUCUUGCACAUAGGAUGGUAUCUGAAGUCUGGCAACUGGCUCAUUCUAGUUUAUAUCCGUGAGAAAUACUCCAUAACAAGCACAAAUAGCAGGAGUGAGAUGGGGUUGCCUCGCCUCAAACCUCUCUUUCCUUAAAAAAAAAAAAUCGCAACUUUCCCCAUUUACUUUGACUGAAAAACUUGUUGUAGUUACAAACUCCAAAAUAAGCUGACUAAAUUUAGGGGGAAAAACAUAUCCCAUCUACAUAUCCUUUGUGAAUUUCCACUCAACCAUGUCAUAAGCCUUCCUCAAAGUCAAUUUUCAUCAAGCAUCUUGGAGUUGUUUUCCUGUUGUAAUGCCUCAAUAGAUCAUGGCAAAUCAACACAUUCUGAACCAAAGAUCUACCAGUAACAAAUGCAGCCUGAGUAGCUUCCACUAAACUAGGUAAAACACUCUUCAACCUAGUGCAUUAGAUCUUUGAGAUGCAUUAGUAGAUAGAGUUGCAAAAAGAGAUUGGUCUGAAUUGACUAGCAUCCUCAGGAUUAUCAGUUUUUGGGAUUAAAGAGAUCAGAGUUGCAUUGAUCUAUUUCAACAGCCUACCAGUUUGGAAGAAGUCUUGCAACGACAUUACACACUUCAAUCCCUACUAUAUCCCAAGUAGCUCUGUAAAACCCUCCACCAUAUCCAUCAGGAGCUGGACUCAAUUGAUAUUCAUGCUCCACAUAGUUUUCUUGAUCUCACUGCUAGAGACUGGACUUAACAAUAAUGUUUGUUGAACUGCAUCUAAUAUAUAUCCGUGCUCAAAUAUUCUCCUGCUUGCUCUCUUCCUUGUCCCAGCAGCCUCUUCUAGUAACCUUUGAUAGUAAUUGACAAAGAUCUCAGAUUUGUUUAUGAUCAUGUUAUACCUGACUCUGCUCAUCCUUCAACUAAGUAACUGGCCGCAUCAGGUUCUCCUCUUUAAUACUGAAAGAAAUAUUUGUUGUCAUCUCCCAUCCUUAUCUAGUUUGCUUUACAUCUCUGCAUCAACAUAUUUUCUGCAAGAUAAGAACACCUUUGAAACUGCUGUCUCAUGCCCUUCUCUGCUACCUAUAAAUCAAGAUCCAUUGAUUUAGUUUGUAGCUGUGCUUGUAGAGUCUGCAGUGCAUUCCUAUCAUCAUUAGCCUGCUCGACUAAAUUACGGAAAUGUUGCUUGUGUAAUUGCUUGAACUUAGUUUUCAGAAGUUUAAGCUUCCUCACCACCCUAUACAUACUAUAACCAUCAACAGACAUAUCCCACACCUCUUGUACCAAAGGUAAGAACAUGACAUGUGAACUCCACACAUUGCAAUAUCUGAAUGCUCUUGUAUUCUUCCUUUCAGCAUGGACAAGUUGAACCACUACUGGACAAUGAUCACUCACCCUUACUGGAAGUACAUGAAUCUUAAUAUUAGGCUACUUAUUCCCAGUUUUCCCCAUUUCCUCUGAGCAAAUCCAUUCAAUACAUCGAAUGGUGGAUAAGCUUUGCCACAACAUUCCUCCAAUACUUCACCUCUGAGCUAAUGUCCUCUUCUUCGAUUUCCACCAGAGAUACCUCCGCUGCCUUGUGAGAUUUGAUAUAAUCCAGCUUAAACCUGCAUUGUUAAGCUUGGAGAUACCAAAUUUGUCCGAAAUUGAUUCUCUAGGAACACUACUUCGACCAAUUCCAGGACUCGUGGUUGAAGCUUCCACCCCAUCAGCCCAUGAUUGAGGAGAUGCAGUGAUAUCCUUCCAUUCCUGAACAUUUUCCUUUUCCAAUUUUGCUUUCGAUUUCAAUUCGUCACAUCUGCCUUCUACACCAACAGGAAGUUGCCCUGGGCUCACCGAAUUACUCAUAUUCUCAGUUAAUUCCACAUCCCCAAUUACUAAGUUCGAACUCCUCAUUUCAGUUUCCACUAGACUCAGCACCUUUGUUACUGUUUCAUUGCUUUUCAUCACUAUACUACUACCAACCGUUGUUCCUGUACAACCUCCAGACUGUGCAACCUUACCCAAAGUGAUCCCCACAGAUUUUGCAGGUGGAGUCGAAGCUUUGGCCCUCCUUCCCAUGGUGUGCGUACAUUAGUAAAGCCACUAACAUGCGCCUAGAGAGAGAAAGCUUGCCAUCCCCCAGAUGGCUUUAUCAAUUUUUUUAAUCAUGUAAUCAUACUGUAAUUAGAAUAAGUAGGAUAAAGUGGCUCCACAAAGUUAUGUUUUAUGCAACUGUUCAUUUGAGAGAUCUAUGAGUUAAUGUGUAAUCAUGCUUGGUUUGUGGCAUUUUUUAUUAAUUCCGGUGAACAACAUUUUGAUAUUUUCUCUUUCCAUUGGAAAAGGAACUACUAACAAGGAGAAAAGAUCUGAAUAUUGGGACAAUCUACAAGGAUGACUUUAUGUUGCCCUCUCCCAAGUCUCAUCUCUCUUGGUGGAAUGAGGCAUAUAGAUAGGUGGGGAGGCAUAUAAAUGUGUCUUUCUAAAAAAAGUUGAAUGUAACUUACAUCUAAGGGAGUUUUUAUGCUGAUGUCUGCAAUUUUUGUGUAUAAGAUCAAGACCGCAAUUUUGAUGCUGUUCUGGUUGUUGGAAUUUGAUCUAUGAAUGUGAAGCUGGUUUGAUGGAAGAAUCUAGAGCUCCUCUAUAGACGUGAAUGAUGUGCUACAAGAUCUUACAUUGAAAAAAUAUUGAACUUUGAGAAGUGAGACCAAAUCUUCACUAAGGCUUAUACAUGGCUCAAAUUAUUUUCAUGUAUAUAUAGUAGAUGUUGAACCUCUUUUGACUUCUUUGUGUGUUUCUUUUCAUAUUUUCAACUUCCUUAGUAAACAUCCUGGUUCCACUACUGAUUAGUGACUCAACCACCAUUUAACAAGUCAUCCAAAUACAAAGUGUGAAUCCUAUCUUUACACCAAUAGUAAAAAUAAAACAAAAAAGUAUUUUAAUACUUUUAACAUUGUUUUUAGUAUUAUACAAUGAUCUCAUGUUUCUUCAAUCCAAAUAAGCCAAAAGAGACACAAUAAUGAUGUCCUCCAGCCCCAGGCUACCAUCCACUCUUUUGCCCGUCUUUUCUAGUCUCCAACUUGAAUUGUUGUAUCCAAGUCUUAGUGAAACCCAUGGCAUGUUGUACAUAGCGAAACCAGAGUCCAUAUCUGUGAGGUAAAGGUAUAAUACAACCUGAGGUAGUUUUGUCAUCUCUAUACUUCUUGCACAUGCAAUUCAUAACAAUUUUUCUUUUCCUAAGAUUACCGAGAGUAUUUUUGGCCUUAACCCGCUUCAUAUCAUCUUUUCAACCCCCCACCCUCCCCUUCUUCCCCAGUUAAGUAGAUUUGUAGAUUUUAGGACGGCAUUCCGCAACUUGUUCCAUUCCCAGUCUUAAAUAAUCCACCAUCCUAUUCUCUUUAUACUAUCUAUCAUCAGUAACUAAGUCCCUAUAAGCUUUGACCUGCAAUUCCUGGCUGGUGCAUUUACUUUAUUUCCCACUUUAUGCAAUUUCACUGGGUAUGUUGUUGUUAUUAAAGCACUGAGCUAUUUUAUGUUUGUCCAUUGUAUUGUCCACAACCAGAAGUGUCGUUGAUGCUCUAAUUAGUACACCUCGCAUCUGCAUACUCUAAUGAAUCAAGCAUAAGACUAUCUGCCCACCUAUAGCCGAAAAUUUCUAACCUUUUGUCCAUGAUUACCAUUUUGGUUGAUAUAGAACUCCAUUACCAAUAAUGUAGCUUUACGUGCACAAUUACACGUGAAAUAAAACCUGUUGUGUGAACUUGAUGAUCUAGAGAAAAAUUUGGACUGUCAUAAUGUACUGAGAAGUAAAAGUUCCUUGAUGGUUGAAAAUAAAGCCUAGAAAGUGGAGUUCUUUGUGACUUCUAUACAAUGCUUACUUUUGCAGGCAGCAGAUUCUCAAAUUGUUUCAGACUAUGUUCGCUACUUCCUACACCAACACACGUAAGCUUCUUCCCUCUAUUAGAAUCUGUAUUCCAUCUUUUAAUUAUUCAAAUGCUUCAUCAUUAUGUUGCUUGGAAUCUUCAAAAAUGUCAGCGGGUGUGUGUUAGAUUCUCCUAAAGUAGUGCAUUUUUGGAGAAUUUGAAAGGGGUGCGGCAUCGAAAGUGAUGAGUCCGCGCAACUUAGCUUAAUCAUGGAUCCCACCUUUUACAACUUGCAAAUCCCUCCCAAACUUCUUUCAUUCUGCUUUGAUCUUUUCUUUUGGCCUGGUCAUAAGCUGCAAUAAUAUCUGUUUGCUUCUUCAUAGCUAUCUUCUUUAUUGUAAAAUUGGUUCUUUUUUUUUGUGUAUAUUUCUUUGAUGUUUGAAUCGCAUCCUCUAUAACUAGGGCCAUGAAUUGGCUCUCUGGUUUGUGUAUCUACUUUUGGAAGUAAAUUUUUAGUGUAGCAGUAUUGCUUGCCAAUUUAGUUACAAAUAUAUUUAUUUUUUGGAUAACCCAACUUAGUAUGCCAAGUUAUUUUUAGGAACUUCUAAUCUUGAGACGUCUUGUGAAAGCAGGAUACAGCUAGGUCAGCCAGCUACCGUCAAGGUUGCUGCGAACCUUGCAAGGUUAUUAUCCUACAACAACAAGGUUUGAUCUGGAACAAUUAUACUCUUUCUUAGUUUGUCCCAUUAAAAUAAAGGGGAAAGAAUCGAAACGACACUUCAAAUUAAACUAUUUCCACAAAAAUGGCCAUGGAAUUAAAAUUCUACUUUCGAGCCAUUUCAGUUUGUUGGCUUGCUCUAUACCGUUUCUACACACCUUCUAUACAGUUUCUAUACAUAUCUUAUACAUAUAAAUAUUCUAUAUGAAAAUUAUACAGUUUCGAUAUACAAUAGUUGUACAUUUUUUUACACAUUUUAUACAACAAUUAUAUAAUUUUUAUACACUUUCUAUNNNNNNNNNNNNNNNNNNNNNNNNNNNNNNNNNNNNNNNNNNNNNNNNNNNNNNNNNNNNNNNNNNNACCAUUUUUAUAUAAUUAUAUUUAAUUAUUAUUUUUAAAAAAUAAAAAGAAAAGCAAAAUAUUUUUCAGUUAAAAAAUUUAUAGCAAAAAAAAAAAAACUGAAAUAUUUUUAAAAGGGCCGAAUGACCCAAGUUAAAAACUAUAUCAGUAUUGUAUAUGGAUUGUAUCAGUGUUGUCUAUGGACUGUAUCUGAACUACAUGGCCAAAGUGACCUAAAUUAAGAAAUGGCUAUAAAGUGGAAAUACUUUAUCCGACUGGCCAUUUUUUUUGGCAAAAUCUCAAACUUGGGCUAUUUGUUUUAUAAAGUGUUAUACAAUGUCCUUUUCCCUAAAAUAAAUUGUUAUUAGCUAUUUGUUACUUAAUAUUUCCUCUUUUACUUGUAACAUAAAUAACUUUGCAGUAUAGUUUGAAAGUUUUAAUCUCUUUACUUCCUCUUUAAUGCAAAUAAAUCAGGUUUGUGUAACACGAGUCUCGACAAAUAGAGAUACCUGGUAAUUGUGUUCAAGUAAUUUUGUGCCAUAUUUCAUGCACGCUUUUGAUGGUUCAAUAGAAUAUGGUCUCAGGCUGUCGCCGUCUUGUAGGACAUUUUUCUUUAUUACCGGCAAUUGCUUACCCAUCUGAUGGUAGUAAAAAUUUUAGUGGUCUUAGCUGCACUUUUGUAAGAUCAAUAUAACCGUGACACUUGCACUUCGUUUGGUUGGUUGUUACCCAUUGUUUCAUAAUCUACUGUACUGUAGUGUAAAUACAUUGGUUGGAUAGAUUGUAUCGUUUGUUGCUGUUUAAUAACUUAUUUAUUGUUUGAUUUAAUUGUAUCGUGCUGUUUAAGGAGAUGGUAGGAUUACUCAAUAUAUGCGAACAAGUCAAAGCCAUUCACCUCAAGUGAUAUAAGUGUUUCAAAUAACUCUUUAUGUAAUUGGUCAAAUGUGAUGGAUGACACAUUAAUUGGUGCAUAUUGUCAUGCCAAUGCACUUGAAAAUAUGGUUAGCAAAACUUUCAUUAUACACAAAGUGGAUAACUUAGCGAGGGAGCUACAAUCGGAAUUUCUUGAUAAAGUUAUUAAUAAGGAGAAAAUUCAGAACUGAAUGAAAAUAAUUAAAAGCUAAUUAACCAAAUACAGUGACAUUUCAAAUGGAGAUAAAUGGAUUUGCAUGGGAUCCCAUCACAAAUAUGUGGGAUGUUGAACUUGAAGUAUGAGAUCAGUUAAUUUCAGGUAAAUUUAUAUUAUUAGUUUUGUUCUUAUUUUUAUAUUAGAAUGUUUAUCUUAUUUUAUUCAAUGAUAUGCUGUAGUUUUUAUAUAUAGGCAAGUUGAAGCUGCUGGCUUGUGGACCAAGUCAAGGAAAAAAUUUUUCUUUUCUUUUCCAAAAAAAAAAAGAUUAAGUCCUCAACUCAGCAGCUUCAUGCUUAGCCUAUAUAUAAAAAGUGCAAAACAUUAUUGAAGAAAAUAGGAUGAAUAAUUAUAAUAUAAAAACUGGAAUAGAACAUAUAAAUAUAAAUUUACCUGAAUUAACAGAUUCCCGACUUUAGAUUUAACAUCCCACAAUUUGUGAUGGGAUCCCAUGCAGAUCUGCUCAUCUCCAUUUGAAAUGUGUCAUAGUAUUUGCUAAAUUGUCUUUUAAUUGUUUUCAUUCAGUUGUGAAUUUUCUCCUUAUUAAUAACUUUAUCAAGAAAUUUUAAUUGUAACUUCCUCGCGAUGUUGUUAUCCAAUGCGUGUGUAGUGAAAGUUCCGCUAACCCUGUUUCCAAGUGCAUUCUCAUGACAAUAUGCAUCAAUUAACGUGUCAUCUUUUAAAUUUCAUCAAAUACAUAAAGAGUUAUGAAACAUUUAUAUCACUUGAGGUGAAUGCCUUUUGACUUUUUCGUGAUAUUACAGAAUUAAGAUAUAUAUCCAUAAGAUUUUAAGAGAAAAUAUUGUCACACAUAAAUAUUGAUAAAAGUAAUAAUAUAAAGUAAAAUGCACUACACAUAAUGUUUAUAAUAAAAACAAUAGCAUCACAAAAUUACUUUAAAAUGCGACACAAAAAAUCACUUGAGUUUUUAUCCUAGAAAAUUAAUCUUGAUAAUUAAUCCAUGAAGUGUGGUCGUGGGGUAUUGGUGAGCCUGCAACAAUCUUUUCCUCAUCGUAAUCCUUGUAAGUUUUCAUCUAAUUCUUAAGUAAAUUCCCCAAUUACAGCUUGACUCGAUUUUACUGGCCUAAAUGCGAGUCCACGUCGCGGCAAGUGGUGGUUGUAAUUCAACUCUCUUUGCUGUCGCGGCUACAGCCCGUCGCGCGUCCGAACUCCAGGACCCUUUCGCGCUUAGGCGCUCCGCUUAUUGAUAUGCUUAAACUCAGCGUGUAAUCCCGCCUGACUUGGGGUCGCGGUCGGAGCGCCUAAGCGCGAAAGAGUCCUGAAGUUCGGACGCGCGAUGGGCUGUAGCCGCGACAGCAAAGAGAGUUGAAUUACCACAUGGCAGCUGCUAUGUCAUCUCAAAUCAACUCUACUCUUUUGAAUUUUUCAUUACUCUCUAGGAUUUGGUUGUUCUUUCUGCACAACAUUUCAUAAGCUCUGCAUCAACUUGAGCGAGUAACUCACCGUUUGGAUCUGCACCUCUUAAGUAGUUGUGCAAAAUACAACAUGCAAAUAUAAUAAGCUUUUGGGAUUCAACAUUAUCAUUCAUAAGCUCUGCAUCAACUUGAGCGAGUAACUCACUGUUUGAAUCUUCACCUCUUAAGUAGUUGUGCAAAAUACAACAUGCAAAUAUGAUAUAAUAUAAUAAGCUUUUGGGAUUCAAUACCAUAUGACGACUCUAGUGAACUAUAAACUGUAGGAGAUCUCUUUUUAAGAACUCCAAAUGCUCGUUCGAUAGCAUUACACAAAAAGUGUGUUGCAAAUUAACUUAUUCACGAGAAUUCCGGGGUGGAUUUCUUGAAUACUCUCUCAAGAGAUAUCGCCAAUGGUCAACGAACAAAUAUUUGACCUUUUCAAAUUUUUUUGACCAUCCCUUUUCAACAUAUCUGGUCUAGCCUCAACAUGUUUUCUAGUAGCUUUAUCCUUUUAAUAUAACAUUACCAACUUACAUAAUUUCGAAAGGCUUAUAUAUAAAAAGUGCAAUACAUUAUUGUAAGAUGAACUUUUAUAUUCCAACUUUUAUCAAUAUUUAUGUGUGACAAUAUUUUUCUUUUUUACAAUCAUAUGAUUUAUCCCAAUUUUGCAAUUGUCGAUAUGGUCGAAAAAGUCAAAAGUCAUUCAUCUCAAGUAAUAUAAAUGUUUCAAACAACUCUUUGUGUAUUUGAUCAAAUGCAAUGGAUGACAUAUUAAUUGAUGCAUAUUGUCAUGAGAAUGCAUCAACCAAUUAAACUUACUUACAAUACAAUCUUGAUAUCAUAAUCAUCAAUUACUUACAAUCUAAUGUAAAGGGAGAUGCAUCAACCAAUUAAACUUACUUACAAAAAUAAAUUUGAAUAAAAAAAAUUUGGCACGAGAAGACAAAUAUAAUUGGUUGAUGCAUGAAACUAAGAGGGAAUAACAAAUUAGGCACGAGAAGACAAAUAUAAUUGGUUGAUGCAUGAAACCAAGAGGACCUGAAUCAUAGCUGAAUAUACUAUCUUUAAUAUGUAAAAAUCGGUUAAUAUGGAGAACCUUUGGACAUGAAACUAAGAGGACUUGAAUAGCAGAAUAUACUUCUGCUACCUUUUCAGAAUGUAAUAGUGUAUUUUUCUUGUAUUUACUGAGUGUCAUAUUUAUUUAUAUUUGUCUUUUCAAUUCUCAUCCAUGUAUGUAGUUUAUAAUUGAACUUUGUACUGUGUAAUUUUCCCAAUGAAGAUUUUGUUUUUCAAAAAUUAAAAUCGAGAAACCAUGUUGAAAAUCACACCAAAUUUAGGUGUGUAAAUUCUUUCAUCACUCUUUCUUAGACUGUGAAUGUACAAAACUGAACUGAGAAAAUUAAUACUCUGCAGAAUAAAUGGUCAAUACUAUACAACUGUUGUGAACUACGUUGAGUAGUUGAGUUGUUAGCCAUUUACAUAGAUGUUGUGGUCUGUUUCCCAUACUACACUAUUGUAUGCAUAACUUCUUUACUAAAGAACUAAUCUGAAGAAUAACAUGAUGUUCCUAAAAGUACUAUGCAACAUCAAUUAUUGAGUAUCAGAACUAUCUUCCAUCUCAUAAUAUAGAAUGGUUGUGGACCAAAAAGAAUUACCUGUAACUUUGAAACAGUGGAAAAAACCUGCACAUAAAGCAAACGUAUUAAAAUCAGAAAAAAAUCACAGAAGGAGAUAGAAGAAAACGAGGGGGCAAAAAAAUCAAACCUAGAAGAAGAGAAAAGAAUGCAAGGCGUAGGGUAGAUUAUUUGAUGGAGUUAAAUAAUAUAGGGUAAAAGGUAAAAUAACUUAUUUAAUAAGUAAGGGCAUACUUAGAGAAAUUAGGUAACAAUGGGAUUACACCAAAUUAGUUGUUUCAUAAAAUGAGGCUUUUCAUGGUUACCUAACAACGGAGGAAUCAAACCACACGAUACAAUAUGUUUUUAGUAACAAUCCAAACAAACAUGGUAAUGAUAUUGGUAGUAACGAUACAAUAAGAUACCAUGGAUAACAACCAUCCAAACAAAGUGUUACUAUUGAUUUGAAUAUUGAACAUUGAUUAUGUUCUAAACAGAGAUGGAAAUUUGUAGAAGCUAAAUUCAUUCAUAUCUUACUCAGGGAAUUAUGGUAAAUUUUGAGUUGAUCUCAUUAUAUGUGUUUUCUCCAGAGUUGUUACAUCAGUUUUACUUUUGUGUUUUUCUUUAAUGAACUUCAACCAUUUAAUCAUUAUGAAUUAUUUCCUGGUAAUUAUGCGACUACAAUAUUUAUGGAGAUGUAUGCAGUUUUACCACAUAUGCAUUUUCUUUUUCCUUUCUCCUGGAUAUUUAUGCUAAAUGAACUAGUGCAUAAAUACCUAUUUGGUAUUUAAAUUAAUCAGCACAAAAGGUUUAAACAAUAGCUUCUACAACUAUUGUUAACACCAUUGCUACCGUGUUGUUAUUAUGAAAAUAACUGUAUGAAAUUUUGGGUAUGAAAUUUUUGGUGAACUUGUCUUUUUGUGCAUUCUGUUUCAUGUGCUUUCCUAUGGAUCCACUGGUGUACACAACAACAACAACAUAGCCCCCACUGGGGUCUAGGGAGGAUAGAGUGUAUGC